rnacentral:rRNA from 1 species
UACGAAGGGGGGCUAGCGUUGUUCGGAAUUACUGGGCGUAAAGCGCACGUAGGCGGAUACUUAAGUUAGGGGUGAAAUCCCAGGGCUCAACCCUGGAACUGCCUCUAAUACUGGGUAUCUAGAGUCCGAGAGAGGUGAGUGGAAUUCCGAGUGUAGAGGUGAAAUUCGUAGAUAUUCGGAGGAACACCAGUGGCGAAGGCGGCUCACUGGCUCGGUACUGACGCUGAGGUGCGAAAGCGUGGGGAGCAAACAGG